GUGAGAACACCUGGGUUUAUAUCAAGUCGUAGUUUUUGACCUUGUGUAAAUUAUUUAAUCUUUCUAGGAUCAUUUUCUCAUUGCAAAAUGUAGGUAACAACUCCAACUUCACAAGACUGUAAAUAUUAAAUGUGAUAAUAUGCACAAAUUGCUUAGAUCAGUGGCUGCACAAAAUAAGCACCUAAUAGUAUUUAGUAGUGAUAUAAGUGGUAGAUUUUGUAGUAGGUCAGAAAUAAAGAUGAUUGAUAACAAAUUCUUUGUUUCAAGGGAAAGGUAACUAGAGACAUUCAGAAGUGAAACACCAUCUUUGUUAUUGAUAUUUAAGACAUAUUGUACAUCAUAAGUGAGCUCUGCAUAUGCACAUAAGCUCCUAAGGUGUUUAGAUUCCUCAGGUGAGAUGAGACAGUAUUACUAUAAUUGAAAUUAUGUAGUUAUGACUGAAUACUGUAUAAUUAAGACUUUUAU
rnacentral:lncRNA from 1 species